ACUGAAGUUGGUGUCUGCGCACUUGGAGACCUGGUUUUGCGCGGAAGCACAAAGACUUACACCUUUGCUUCAGGCUGAUAACGCAGCACACAGAAGCGAGGG
rnacentral:snRNA from 1 species